UAACAUCCCGAAUUAUAGGCACCAAUAAAAGGUUUGGAUAUGUGGUGAGGAAUAGUAGUUAAGUUAAACCGUAAGGUAUAAAUUUGAUACGAAAUGCCGAUUAGUCAAUUUUCGGCAAUUUCUUUUGUCCGUGUAAAAUCAUAAAUCGAAGCUAAGGGGUAAUAAUUUUAUAAAUUACAAAUUAUGGCCUAGAAUAAUUGUUGAUAAUGUGAGGAAUUGUUUUGGGCCAUUUGAAGGUAAUUAAAAAAAUUUCUAUCGCCGAUAAUUUCAGUUUUUAACGAAAACGAUCGGCGAAACUUUUGAAGAUAUAGACAGGAAUAAUUUUGCCUUAAACUAGAAUUUAAAUGCUAAAUGAUGAUAUAAAGAGUUCCUAAAUGUGAUAUCAUAUGAUAGGGCAAUAAAAUGUUACAAGAUAAUUAAUUUAUUUAAAAACUAACUAAAUAAUUAAAUAAUGAUUAGAAUUCUCUAGAGAAUUCUUUUGUCUAUCAUCAACUCCAAACCCCCCCUCAUUUCAGCCACAAGCACGUCCUCCCCCUCUCCAUGGAAGACCAAAAGCUUAAGCUUUUUAAUUUCCAAAUAUUUGUCAUUUAAUCGGUAAAUCGAUCGGGUAAUCUUGUAUCCGCCAGCAAAUCGAGCGAAGGAGCAUAUAGUGCGUUUUGAUCACAAAGGAGUGGAUUUAGAGGGUAGAGAAGUAUCAAGGUGAAAUAGGCUUAUGUUCAUAAGCCUGCGAGGUUAGAGUCGAUAUUAUGUCAGUGGUGUUGCGCAGCUUUGCAUCUUUGGCGAGUCACUGGUGGUCAACUUGGUUUAGUAGUCGUGGCAUGUUAUGUAAUAGUUUAAUCUUUAACCUUCCGCUGGAUAAAUGUUAAGUUUUUAAAUGUAAUAGAUUUUAAUUAUGCUUUUAAGCUAAAAAGAAAAAGGAAAAAUUUCAGUACGGGUUUUCGAUACUGAAACGUGACAUCACUUAUUCGGUGGGUUACCUACCGGGUAAGGGGUGUUACAAGUUUUGGUAUCAGAGCCUAGGUUUAGGCGGUUCUGGAAAGAAGUGAUUCAGUAAAGUGUGUAGAAACAUGCCACAUAGGUUUAAUUGUCUGUUAGUACCAGUGACUCGAUGCAGCUGCUUAUGUCUAAAGUGGAAAGAAGUUAACAAGGUACGGGACAUAGUUUCCCGUGUGACCGAGAAAGAUGUUAUAUGGGACUGGCCACCCCAUAUAGCUCUAAUCUCGGUAGCGUCGGUAUGUGUAAAAGAUUUAAAAAAAAAAAUUCAGGGAGGAUGGGUCUGAAAAUGUUGAUGAAAAGUAUGUCCUAAUGAAAGAUACUAAUAAAUAUAUGCAGAUUAUGAAAGGGUAUAAGUAAAAGAGAAGAAAAUGAGUUAAAGGAAUGAUAUGGAAAGAAAGUAAGUUAUACACUAAGUGACCAUCAUGAUAUAAAAGUGUAACACGAAAAUUCACAAAGGUAUGUGGAUUGUCUGAUAUAAGAUGGAUUAAGAGUCAUAAAGUAAUAUCCUAUAAUGAUAAACAAAAGUAUAGAAAUAUGUGAAAGGAAAUGUGUUUGGCAAAAUGAUAAAUAUUGAUAUGAAAACAUAUGAAACUAUAAGGCAUUAUAUGAAUAAAACCAUAAAUGUGCGAAUGAGAAAAUGCGACGAAUAAGAAAUAAAUGAUAUGAUCUGAACAUGUGUGCCCCUAUAUGGAUUACAUGUGUACUUCGAAUCGGGCAAUAUGAGAUAUGACGUGAUGUGAUGGAAAUAUGAACUGAAUAAUCGUGCAAGACAAUAAAUUAUAUGAUUGGAAAUGUGAACUCCGUGAGAAUUAUGUGUGCGCUCGAAUACGAGCUAUAUAAAUGUUAGAACCGAAUGAUGAUUCAGAAAUGAAAUGGAAAAUGGGAAUGUAUGCUCUAAGCGAGCUGUAUAGUAUAUGAUAAGAUAUGUCUAAAAAUAUGAGUUUGAAAUUGAGCUAUAUGAUAUAAAAUGGUAUUCUGGUUGAAAGUGUUGUCUGUGAUCUGUAAAUGUGUUAGUUAUGGAUAAGAAUGAGUUUUGAAAAUAAAUAUGGUUGUUGAUGAAUACUGACUUGAUAUUUGAAUUAUGUUGUGAUUUGGUGGUUUGAUUUGAUAAUCUGUGAUUAACAUUGUAUCUUGUUGGUUUUGGGGAAGCACUGGUUAUAGAGAAAACGCUGCCCAAUUUUUGCUAGAAAUUGAUCAGAUAAAUUAAUACGAAGUUGUUGUAAAUAAACUGAUAAGUGAUAAUACAUGAAGAGAAUGAUGUUACAUGAUGACUUAAGAAAGGAAAAAGGGAAAAGAUAAGAAGUGUUGUGAAUGAUAAUAAAGGAAAACGUAAUGAAAUGAUGAUAUGUGGAAAGUGAAAUGCACCCUUCGUCGGCUAUAAGUGCCCGAAUAGGGACUAUGCAAUUGGGACUAUACAAUAUAUGAUGAGUAUGUGAAUUAUACAUAUGCGUGAUGAAUAUGAUAUGUGCGCCUCAUGUGGACAAAGAAAAGAUGCAAAUAACAUGGAAAUUACUAUGUAAAGAAAUGAUAAUGUGACAAAUGUGCUUGAAAUAUAUUAGAGAUAAUGAUAAUAUUAUUAUGUGAUCGCAAAAUGUGGCUAUGUGUUAAGAUGUGAUUAUGUGAUUUUGUAUGUCAUUCUGUGUUUGGUUAUGGAAGUGAGGAUACGCUAUGUAGAUGAGGAUAUAGGAUGUCGUGGAAUGGCAUACGUAUAUGCGACGCUUAUAGGAAUGAUGUAAACCCGAGGGAAUUUCGAGGACGAAAUUCCUUUUAGGGGGGAUGAGUUGUAACAUCCCGAAUUAUAGGCACCAAUAAAAGGUUUGGAUAUGUGGUGAGGAAUAGUAGUUAAGUUAAACCGUAAGGUAUAAAUUUGAUACGAAAUGCCGAUUAGUCAAUUUUCGGCAAUUUCUUUUGUCCGUGUAAAAUCAUAAAUCGAAGCUAAGGGGUAAUAAUUUUAUAAAUUACAAAUUAUGGCCUAGAAUAAUUGUUGAUAAUGUGAGGAAUUGUUUUGGGCCAUUUGAAGGUAAUUAAAAAAAUUUCUAUCGCCGAUAAUUUCAGUUUUUAACGAAAACGAUCGGCGAAACUUUUGAAGAUAUAGACAGGAAUAAUUUUGCCUUAAACUAGAAUUUAAAUGCUAAAUGAUGAUAUAAAGAGUUCCUAAAUGUGAUAUCAUAUGAUAGGGCAAUAAAAUGUUACAAGAUAAUUAAUUUAUUUAAAAACUAACUAAAUAAUUAAAUAAUGAUUAGAAUUCUCUAGAGAAUUCUUUUGUCUAUCAUCAACUCCAAACCCCCCCUCAUUUCAGCCACAAGCACGUCCUCCCCCUCUCCAUGGAAGACCAAAAGCUUAAGCUUUUUAAUUUCCAAAUAUUUGUCAUUUAAUCGGUAAAUCGAUCGGGUAAUCUUGUAUCCGCCAGCAAAUCGAGCGAAGGAGCAUAUAGUGCGUUUUGAUCACAAAGGAGUGGAUUUAGAGGGUAGAGAAGUAUCAAGGUGAAAUAGGCUUAUGUUCAUAAGCCUGCGAGGUAGCGUAUCCUCUCUAUGGUUUUCGAUUCUUUAGGUUGAGAUGAUGUGUGCUAUAAUGUGAUUAUAUGUGAGAUGUUUAAAUAAUGUGCUUAAAUAUGCUUAUAAUUUAAUAUGUGGAUUAUUAUGAUUCUUAUUAAUUUUAAUAUGAAUGAUCUGUGGAAAAAAAAUGGUACGAAUAUGAAUAAAGACAAUGGAUAUGAUAUGCAAUGAAGUGUAAUAAAUUAUGAAGAUCUGAAUAAUGUGAAAUAUGUCUGAAUAGAUUAUGAAAAAAAAUAUCUGAAUAUAUAUGAAAAAGAGUGUCUGUGAAUUCGAUAAGAAUGAUUAUCUGAAGUGAUAUUUGGAAAUGGAAUAAAUGUGAAAAAGAGAUUUGAAAGAAGAAUAUGAAAUAAAACGUCCUGUUUGCUUGGUCAUAUGUGUUGGGUACAAUUGGCAUGCCAUAGGACAGCAGCGCUGCAUUAUCUGUGAUCACUCGUCUUCUGGAUAACCGAAGCGAGGAUCGUCUGUUAUCUGAUGGGCCCCUAUCUGAUCUGUCUGAUCUGCACC